rnacentral:lncRNA from 1 species
CAGGCACAGAAGAAUCCGCACCCAGGUGCUGUAAGAUCAGGGCACUGGGCAAGAAGAGAGGCAGACUAACCCUAACACCAAAGUCUUUGUGAACCCUUGUGUGAGGAGACUGAUUAAGUGAGCAGAGGCAAGGGGGAGAAGAGAACCACGCUGCCUAAACUGGAAGGAUGGAAGGGUGAGAGGGUCUGAAGAGGAGACAGUCGGCUGCUCCUGUUCUCCACUAAGAAAACCAACCCUCCUAUGAAAGAAGCCCAUAGGUGGAAGAAACUCUUCUUCUCAGACUACUGGUUCCCACACAGAAAGAAAGCCAAAGGGGCAGGGGAGUGACAGAAGAUAACAGCAAAAUUAGCUUCUUGACUGUAAGAGAAGGUCCCACUGGCUGCUCUCCUUCAGACUAGGAGCAAAGGUUCUCUGUCCCUCGUGUAGAGAAUGCUGACAAAUACAGACCAAUAAUCUGCCCGAAUAAAAGGUACCUUCUGAUUCA